rnacentral:misc_RNA from 1 species
GAUGAAGAACGUAGCGAAACGCGAUAAGUAAUGUGAAUUGCAGAAUUCAGUGAAUCAUCGAAUCUUUGAACGCACCUUGCGCCCUUUGGCCAUUCCGAAGGGCAUGCCUGUUUGAGUAUCAUGAACACCUCAACUCUUCAUGGUUUUCCGUGAUGAGCUUGGACUUUGGGGGUCUUGCUGGCCUAUGGUCAGCUCCUCUAAAAUAAAUCAGCUUGCCAGUGUUUGGUGGGUAUCACAGGUGUGAUAACUAUCUACGCUUGUGGUUUUCCACCAGGUAACCUUCAGCAGUGGAGGUUCGCUGGAGCUCACAGAUGUGUCUCUCCUCAGUGAGGACAGCUCUUUGAAUGUUUGAUCUCAAAUCAGGUAGGACUACCCGCUGAACUUAAGCAUAUAAUAAGGGAGGA